CUUAUACUCCCUUCGUCUGAAAAUACUUGUCAUUAAAAUGGACAAAAAAAUGUAUCUAAAACUAAAAUACAUCUCCUUUUAUUCAUUUUGAUGACAAGUAUUUUCGGACGAAGAGAGUAUCAA
rnacentral:pre_miRNA from 1 species